UUCCUAUAGAUAUAAUUUUAGGUAUAACCUGCUCCAUGUUUAAAUAAAUAGCCGCAGAAUUUUUACUGUGCUAAGGUAGCAUAAUCACUAGUCUUUUAAUUAAAGACUUGCAUGAAUGGUUAAACAUUUAAAUUUCUUUAUUAAUUUUUAUUUAUCUAAAUUAUUUUAAUCAUAAAAAAAUGAUUAUAUUUCCAUUAGACGACAAGACCCUAUUGAACUUUACUUCAGUUUAGCUGGGGCAGCUAAUUAAUAAAUAUUUUAAUUAUUUAAAUUUACAUAAAUGACCCAAAAUAUUUGAUUAUUUGUUCAAUGUUACCAUAGGGAUAACAGCGUAAUUUCUUUUCAAAGCUCUGAUUUAAAAAGAAGUUUGCGACCUCGAUGUUGAAUUAAUUUAACCUAUUUAAGUAAAAGUAUAAAAGGUAGGUCUGUUCGACCUUUAAUAAAUUACAU
rnacentral:rRNA from 1 species